CCACACCUGCACCCCUCCCCCCCUCUUCCGUUCUUCCUCAAAGGCGACCCUUUUCUUUUCUUCUUCUACCCUUUGAUUUUGGGGAUUUGCUGAAUCGCUAUGUGACAAAGCGAGAAGACACAGACACUGGGAAGUGGAAUGACGGGAAUUGUAACAACUGUGGCUGGAGGAAUUUUUCGGCGAUGGCAGUGGAGUUGUUGGUGGUAAGGAGAAGAGGUAAAAAAUGAAGAUAAAGUCAAUAAUUUAUUUUCCUAUGUGGCACUUGGAAUGAUGUGGCAUCCUAUGUAUAGGAGAUCGUAUUAUAUGCAGAGCAGUCUCCUAUUAUAAGCGUUUAUUAUAUACAAUUUGAACGAGUGUAAGUGUUUAAUUGGCAAAAUAUUAAGUUUGGGGACCGGCAUGAUAAAGUGGCAGAAGUAUAAGUGCCAUUUAGCCUAUUCUGCCAAAUAUUAAAGGAGUAGUAUAUCAAUGAGGAAUAAAAAUGUCUUCUAAUUUUU